rnacentral:rRNA from 1 species
UACGGGGGGAGCAAGCGUUGUCCGGAUUUACUGGGCGUAAAGGGCGCGUAGGCGGUCAGCACAAGUCAGUUGUGAAAUCUCCGGGCUUAACUCGGAAAGGUCAACUGAUACUGUGCGACUAGAGUGCAGAAGGGGCAACUGGAAUUCUCGGUGUAGCGGUGAAAUGCGUAGAUAUCGAGAGGAACACCUGCGGCGAAGGCGGGUUGCUGGGCUGACACUGACGCUGAUGCGCGAAAGCCAGGGGAGCGAACGGG